rnacentral:rRNA from 1 species
UACGGGGGGGGCAAGCGUUGUUCGGAAUUACUGGGCGUAAAGGGCGCGUAGGCGGCCAUCUAAGUCAGACGUGAAAUCCCUCGGCUUAACCGGGGAACUGCAUCUGAUACUGGAUGGCUUGAGAUUGGGAGAGGGAUGCGGAAUUCCAGGUGUAGCGGUGAAAUGCGUAGAUAUCUGGAGGAACACCGGUGGCGAAGGCGGCAUCCUGGACCAACACUGACGCUGAGGAGCGAAAGCCAGGGGAGCAAACGGG